AGAAAACCACCACCACCUUGUCAUGGUCAUCACGACCACUGCCCCAGCACUAUUACUAGCGCCAUCACCUCAUCCCGUCAACAUCACUGCCCCAACCAACUCCACCCCCUUUGUACCACCAACUUACCACUAACUAGAAACCCCACCACCAACAUUAGACAUGAUGGCACUGUCAACAAGUACAAUUAAUGUAUCUACCCACCACAACUACUCAUUUAUAGAUUGAGGCCACUAAAACGAUAAUCAUGUAAGCUCCAUUAUACUUUUAGAUUAACCAAACAACCAUCUUCACAAAUUUAAGAUCAUUAAAUUCAAUCAUUUUAGAAUUUCUUAGUAUUCCUAAAUUUCCUCAUCCAAACGCAUAAUUAAAUUGUUAAUUUUUAUUCCCA
rnacentral:lncRNA from 1 species